rnacentral:rRNA from 1 species
UACGUGGGCAGCGAGCGUUGUUCGGAGUUACUGGGCGUAAAGGGUGUGUAGGCGGUUGUUUAAGUUUGGUGUGAAAUCUCCCGGCUCAACUGGGAGGGUGCGCCGAAUACUGAAUGACUCGAGUGUGGGAGAGGUGAGUGGAAUUCCUGGUGUAGCGGUGAAAUGCGUAGAUAUCAGGAGGAACACCGGUGGUGUAGACGGCUCACUGGACCAUAACUGACGCUGAGACACGAAAGCGUGGGUAGCAAACAGG